rnacentral:rRNA from 1 species
AGAUUGAACGCUGGCGGCAGGCCUAACACAUGCAAGUCGAGCGGUAGAGAGGUGCUUGCAUCUCUUGAGAGCGGCGGACGGGUGAGUAAUGCCUAGGAAUCUGCCUAGUGGUGGGGGGAUAACGUUCGGAAACGGACGCUAAUACCGCAUACGUCCUACGGGAGAAAGCGGGGGACCUUCGGGCCUCGCGCCAUUAGAUGAGCCUAGGUCGGAUUAGCUAGUUGGUGAGGUAAUGGCUCACCAAGGCGACGAUCCGUAACUGGUCUGAGAGGAUGAUCAGUCACACUGGAACUGAGACACGGUCCAGACUCCUACGGGAGCAGCAGUGGGAAUAUUGGACAAUGGGCGAAAGCCUAGAUCCAGCCAUGCCGCGUGUGUGAAGAAGGUCUUCGGAUUAGUAAAGUCAACGUUUAAGUUGGGAAGGUAAGGUUAGUUAAACGUUUAAGUUACGUUGUACCGUAACUUUUGACCGUUUAACCGAUAAGAAUAAGACCACCGGUACUAACCGUUCGUAGCCUAGACACGGCCGUACGG